rnacentral:rRNA from 1 species
GAGUUUGAUCGUGGCUCAGGAUGAACGCUAGCGGCAGGCUUAACACAUGCAAGUCGAGGGGCAGCGCGGGUAGCAAUACCUGGCGGCGACCGGCAAACGGGUGCGGAACACGUACGCAAUCUACCCUUACCCGGGGCAUAGCCCGAAGAAAUUCGGAUUAACUCCCCAUAAGAUAUUAGAGAGGCAUCUCUUAGAUAUUAAAAAUUUAUUGGGUAAGGAUGAGCGUGCGUCCCAUUAGCUAGUUGGUAGGGUAACGGCCUACCAAGGCAACGAUCCAUAGCUGGUCUGAGAGGACGAUCAGCCACACUGGGACUGAGACACGGCCCAGACUCCUACGGGAGGCAGCAGUGGGGAAUAUUGGACAAUGGGCGAAAGCCUGAUCCAGCCAUGCCGCGUGAGUGAUGAAGGCCCUAGGGUUGUAAAGCUCUUUCGCCAGGGACGAUAAUGACGGUACCUGGAUAAGAAGCCCCGGCUAACUUCGUGCCAGCAGCCGCCGUAA